AUGGCGGCGCCGCCGGCUAGGGCUCGGGCCGACUACGACUACCUCAUCAAGCUCCUCCUCAUCGGCGACAGCGGUGUUGGGAAAAGUUGUCUGCUUCUGCGGUUCUCAGAUGGCUCCUUCACCACUAGCUUCAUCACCACUAUUGGUAUUGACUUCAAGAUAAGGACUGUUGAGUUGGAUGGCAAGCGGAUUAAGUUGCAGAUCUGGGAUACUGCUGGCCAAGAACGCUUUCGGACUAUAACUACUGCCUACUACAGGGGAGCGAUGGGCAUUUUACUUGUUUAUGAUGUCACGGACGAGGCGUCAUUCAAUAACAUCAGAAAUUGGAUCAAAAACAUUGAACAGCAUGCUUCAGAUAACGUGAGCAAAAUUUUGGUGGGGAACAAAGCGGAUAUGGAUGAAAGCAAAAGGGCUGUUCCCACUUCAAAGGGCCAGGCCCUGGCCGAUGAAUACGGGAUCCAGUUCUUUGAAGCGAGUGCAAAGACAAACAUGAAUGUCGAGCAGGUUUUCUUCUCUAUAGCAAGAGACAUCAAACAGAGACUCUCGGAGGCAGAUUCCAAGACUGAGGGGGGGACUAUCAAGAUCAACACGGAGGGUGAUGCCAGUGCAGCAGCAGGACAGAAGUCGGCUUGCUGUGGGUCUUGA
rnacentral:rRNA from 1 species